CUUCCCCGGUGACUGGCUCGGGCGAGUUGUUAUUUGAGAGAGGUGCUUCGGGCGCGGUCGCGGUCCAUGUCUCUUGGAACAGAGCGUCCCAGAGGGUGAGAAUCCCGUAGCGAUCGACGGCCAGUCCCAUGUGAAGCCCUUUCGAUGAGUCGAGUUGUUUGGGAAUGCAGCUCCAAAUGGGUGGUAAAUUUCAUCUAAGGCUAAAUACCUGCCGGAGACCGAUAGCGCACAAGUAGAGUGAUCGAAAGAUGAAAAGCACUUUGAAAAGAGAGUCAAAAAGUACGUGAAAUUGUUAAAAGGGAAGCGCUUGCAACCAGACUCGCUCGCGGGUGUUCAGCCGUCCUCCGGGCCGGUGCACUCUCCCGCGAUCGGGCCAGCGUCGGUUCGGGCGGUCGGACAAAGGCUUCGGGAACGUGGCUCCCCUCGGGGAGUGUUACAGCCCGUUGCGCAAUGCGGCCAGCCGGGACCGAGGGUCGCGCAUCAGCUAGGAUGCUGGCGUAAUGGUUGCCAGCGACCCGUCUUGAAACACGGACCAAGGAGUCGACCAAUCGAACGAGUAUUUGGGUGUCAAGCCCAGAUGCGGAAUGAAAGUGAACGGAGGUGGGAGCCCUCGGGUGCACCAUCGACCGAUCCUGAUGUCUUCGGAUGGAUUUGAGUAUGAGUUUGGCUGGUCGGACCCGAAAGAUGGCGAUCUAUACGCGGUGCAGGUACGUGGGCCUUUUUCAUACCGAAUUUUUUCAUGCCCUCGUACUUGGGCCGGUUACUGACAUGACGACAGGGUGAAGCCAGAGGAAACUCUGGUGGAGGCUCGCAGCGGUUCUGACGUGCAAAUCGAUCGUCGAACCUGCGUAUAGGGGCGAAAGACUAAUCGAGCCGUCUAGUAGCUGGUUCCCGUCGAAGUUUCCCUCAGGAUAGCAGCAGCGGGAACAUAGUCUCAUGAGGUAGAGCGAACGAUUAGAGGCCUGGGGGUUGAAACAACCUUCACCUAUUCUCGAACUUCGAAUAUGUGAGAAGUCCUUGUUACUUCGUUGAACGUGGGCAUUGGAUAUUCGUUUUAUGGCCCC
rnacentral:rRNA from 1 species